rnacentral:tRNA from 1 species
GCCGGAGUGGCGGAAUCAGGUAGACGCAAGGGACUUAAAAUCCCUCGCCCCGUAAGGAGCGUGCCGGUUCGAUUCCGGCCUCCGGCACCA